AAUGAAUCUACCAGUGUUGUUGCAGUAGGUAGCUAAUCAGGCAUCAGUGGGCAGGAGAGGGCUCCACCAAAACCCCACCAGGAAUGUCAGGCAUCAGGUGAUGGUCAGGCGGUUGUUAACUGUCUCUCUAAAAUAAUAAUUGGUUGCAGCCAGCAGCAGGGAAAGGCAGUCUUUCUACAGAUAGGAAACACCUGAGACUGGUGAUCAGCCGCUUCCUGAUGAGAUCUCAGGAGUGAGCUCGAGCAUGCGCAUUAAGAAACAAAAUGGCCGAGUUUAACUGGUAUGUGAACGUUUUAAGAUUUGACUCAGGGGCAUAAAGGCAGAAAAAGAGACUGAGGCAAGUUUUAGGGCAGGAGUGGAAGGCAAGAAUUGAUGUUGCUGCAGACCUGUACGGAUUUGCUGCUGGAGGUCUCUUUUCCACUGGAGCCUACUUUGAAAUCAGCUGAGGAGCCACCAAAUCCUAUGGCCACCUGGGCUGUGCCCUAUGAACAGCUCUCUAUUGAAAGAGAGCUACUAGGUUGACUGAUGGCAGUUCCAAGGUGGAUAAUCAACAUCCUGUUUGGAAGACUACUGUACUACAUCAGAUGAUGGAAAAGUUCUGAUUGAGGAAGGUUACAUCUACUACAAUACUGCAGAUACAGUAUAACAUUGGUAUUGCUGGUAUGAUUCCUCUCCCUUAGGUGCACACAGGGCGCACGAAGUGCUGACCUGCUGCGGAUACAGCUCUGGUCUCAGGAAACGGCCCUUAUCCACCGGCGCUCCGCGGGUGUCUUCCACCACUGCGGAGGAGGGGCAGAUGCGGGCGCGUCCACGCUUAGCCGCGUCCCGACAGUACCAAGGCGUUUUUGGCGGGAAGCACGAUGAGGCCACAACUCCGGGCGGCCGAGUUCCUUCCCGCACUCACUCCUGGACACCUUGGUGUGGGGAGGCGCUCAUUUUCCGGGGCGCGCUCGCUUCCCGCAGGGGGCGCCCCGCCUUACUUCUGCAUACCUCACCGUCCUGUCGGGGCCGGCACCUCGC
rnacentral:lncRNA from 1 species